AAUUUUGGAGUAAUAUUAGGUUGGUGCAAAAGUAAUUGAGGUUUUUGCCAUUGAAAAUAAUGGCAAAAACCUCAAUUACUUUUGCACCAACCCGAUACCUUAUUUUGCAGAUGAAAAAACUUAGGGCCAGAGAGAU
rnacentral:miRNA from 1 species